ACGCACGCUGGCGGCGUGCCUAAUACAUGCAAGUUGAGCGAUGAAGAUUGGUGCUUGCACCAAUUUGAAGAGCAGCGAACGGGUUAGUAACGCGUGGGGAAUCUGCCUUUGAGCGGGGGACAACAUUUGGAAACGAAUGCUAAUACCGCAUAACAACUUUAAACAUAAGUUUUCAGUUUGAAAGAUGCAAUUGCAUCACUCAAAGAUGAUCCCGCGUUGUAUUAGCUAGUUGGUGAGGUAAAGGCUCACCAAGGCGAUGAUACAUAGCCGACCUGAGAGGGUGAUCGGCCACAUUGGGACUGAGACACGGCCCAAACUCCUACGGGAGGCAGCAGUAGGGAAUCUUCGGCAAUGGACGAAAGUCUGACCGAGCAACGCCGCGUGAGGGAAGAAGGGUUUCGGAUCGUAAAACUCUGUUGGUAGAGAAGAACGUUGGUGAGAGUGGAAAGCUCAUCAAGUGACGGUAACUACCCAGAAAGGGACGGCUAACUACGUG
rnacentral:rRNA from 1 species